rnacentral:tRNA from 1 species
GUGUGCGUAAGUGGUGAUUUACCGUUAUCUCCGUUAGAAAGAACUGCCUUCACACGGCAGGGGUCACUGGUUCAAUCCCAGUCGCGCCCACCA